UACGGGGGGGGCAAGCGUUGUUCGGAAUUACUGGGCGUAAAGGGCCAGUAGGCGGCCAACUAAGUCGGAUGUGAAAUCCCCAGGCUUAACCUGGGAACUGCAUCCGAUACUGGAUGGCUUGAAUUCGGGAGAGGGAUGCGGAAUUCCAGGUGUAGCGGUGAAAUGCGUAGAUAUCUGGAGGAACACCGGUGGCGAAGGCGGCAUCCUGGACCGAUACUGACGCUGAGGAGCGAAAGCCAGGGGAGCAAACGGG
rnacentral:rRNA from 1 species